GUUGUUUUGUUCGAACCAACAUGUACAAGGUGAGAGGCGGCACCUUACUACGUAGAGGGGUUGUACUUUGCUACGUAGAGGAGUUGCACCUCAAUACGUCAGGAGUGAUGUGUAACUUGUUUGUACCUGUGUAUAAGAAUGCAUCCCUGGGGCGGUGUCUUUGUCCGGCCUAGGGGGCAGUGGAAAGUCCCGCCACUAACUGAGCCGAGUCCAUUGACCGUGGGUACAUAUUUGCAGUAUGCUCUGUAGAGUAACGAUCUGGAGGGAACUACUACUGUAUCCAAUACGGCAAUAAACCUGGCCGAUGUGCCUUUGUACCUUA